AGAGUUUGAUCCUGGCUCAGGAUGAACGCUAGCUACAGGCUUAACACAUGCAAGUCGAGGGGAAACGAUAUUGGAAGCUUGCUUCCGAUAGGCGUCGACCGGCGCACGGGUGAGUAACGCGUAUCCAACCUGCCCACCACUUGGGGAUAACCUUGCGAAAGUAAGACUAAUACCCAAUGAUAUCUCUAGAAGACAUCUGAAAGAGAUUAAAGAUUUAUCGGUGAUGGAUGGGGAUGCGUCUGAUUAGCUUGUUGGCGGGGUAACGGCCACAAGGCGACGAUCAGUAGGGGUUCUGGAGAGGAAGGUCCCCCANAUUGGAACUGAGACACGGUCCAAACUCCGAACGGGAGGCA
rnacentral:rRNA from 1 species